UACGUAGGGUGCGAGCGUUGUCCGGAAUUAUUGGGCGUAAAGAGCUCGUAGGCGGCCUGUUGCGUCGGUUGUGAAAGCCCGGGGCUUAACCCCGGGUCUGCAGUCGAUACGGGCAGGCUAGAGUUCGGUAGGGGAGAUCGGAAUUCCUGGUGUAGCGGUGAAAUGCGCAGAUAUCAGGAGGAACACCGGUGGCGAAGGCGGGUCUCUGGGCCGAUAUUGACGCUGAGGCGCGAAAGCCAGGGGAGCAAACGGG
rnacentral:rRNA from 1 species